GGCCUCGUAUCUCAGCUGGUAGAGCAUGCGCGUACAAAGCGUGGAAGGAUUCCAUGCGUGGGUUCGAAUCCUACCGAGGCUA
rnacentral:tRNA from 1 species